UACGUAGGGGGCUAGCGUUGUCCGGAUUUAUUGGGCGUAAAGAGCGUGUAGGCGGCCAGGUAGGUCUGCUGUGAAAACUCGAGGCUCAACCCUGGAAGGCCGGUGGAAACUGUCGGGCUAGAGUCCGGAAGAGGCGAGUGGAAUUCCCGGUGUAGCGGUGAAAUGCGCAGAUAUCGGGAGGAACACCAAUGGCGAAGGCAGCUCGCUGGGACGGUACUGACGCUGAGACGCGAAAGCGUGGGGAGCAAACAGG
rnacentral:rRNA from 1 species